rnacentral:rRNA from 1 species
UGUAAGCGUAUACCAAAGUUGUUGCAGUUAAAACGCUCGUAGUCGGAAUUUGGCAGUUCCGGAAGUGUGCACGUCGUGUGCGCACUUUGCGGGGACUGCUUUUGUGGUCUUGCGUAGGAUGAGGCACUUUCAUUAGUGAACGUCCUCACGCAACCACUCUUUACUGUGAGAAAAUCAGAGUGCUCAAAGCAGGCAUUUGCCGUGAAUGUAUUAGCAUGGAAUAAUAGAAUAGGACUCGGUUCUAUUUUGUUGGUUUGUUGGGACUGAGUAAUGAUUAAGAGGGACAGUUGGGGGCAUUUGUAUUCCGGCGCUAGAGGUGAAAUUCUUAGAUUGCCGGAAGACAAACUGCUGCGAAAGCGUCUGCCAAGGAUGUAUUCAUUGA